rnacentral:rRNA from 1 species
CGAUUAGCAGUAGGGAAUAUUGGUCAAUGGAUGGAAGUCUGAACCAGCCAUGCCGCGUGCAGGAAGAAGGCCUUCUGGGUUGUAAACUGCUUUUGCCAGGGGAUAAAAAUACCUUGCGAGGUAAAUUGAAGGUACCUGGUGAAUAAGCCACGGCUAACUACGUGCCAGCAGCCGCGGUAAUACGUAGGUGGCAAGCGUUGUCCGGAUUUAUUGGGUUUAAAGGGUGCGUAGGCGGCCCUGUAAGUCAGUGCUGAAAUAUCCCAGCUUAACUGGGAGGGUGGCAUUGAUACUGCGGGGCUAGAGUACAGAUGAGGU